UACAGAGGGUGCAAGCGUUGUUCGGAAUUAUUGGGCGUAAAGCGCGUGUAGGCGGCUUUGCAAGUCGGGUGUGAAAGCCCUCAGCUCAACUGAGGAAGUGCCGCCGAAACUGCAGAGCUUGAGUGCCGGAGAGGGUGGCGGAAUUCCCCAAGUAGAGGUGAAAUUCGUAGAUAUGGGGAGGAACACCGGUGGCGAAGGCGGCCACCUGGACGGCAACUGACGCUGGAGACGCGAAAGCGUGGGGAGCAAACAGG
rnacentral:rRNA from 1 species